rnacentral:rRNA from 1 species
AAACUUUCAACAACGGAUCUCUUGGUUCCGGCAUCGAUGAAGAACGCAGCGAAACGCGAUAGCUAAUGUGAAUUGCAGAAUUCAGUGAAUCAUCGAGUCUUUGAACGCACAUUGCGCCCCCUGGUAUUCCGGGGGGCAUGCCUGUCCGAGCGUCAUU